GUGCCAGCCGCCGCGGUAAUACGUAGGGUGCGAGCGUUAAUCGGAAUUACUGGGCGUAAAGAGUGCGUAGGCGGUUGCUGAAGUCCGCUGUGAAAGCCCCGGGCUCAACCUGGGAAUGGCAGUGGAAACUAGGCGACUUGAAUCUGGCAGAGGGGGGUGGAAUGCCGCGUGUAGCAGUGAAAUGCGUAGAGAUGCGGCGGAACACCGAUGGCGAAGGCAGCCCCCUGGGCUGAGAUUGACGCUCAGGCACGAAAGCGUGGGGAGCAAACAGGAUUAGAAACCCUCGUAGUCC
rnacentral:rRNA from 1 species